AAAUGAAUUGACGGGGGCCCGCACAAGCAGUGGAGUAUGUGGUUUAAUUCGAAGCAACGCGAAGAACCUUACCAGGUCUUGACAUCCACCGAAUCCGGAAGAGAUUCUGGAGUGCCCUUCGGGGAGCGGUGAGACAGGUGGUGCAUGGUUGUCGUCAGCUCGUGUCGUGAGAUGUUGGGUUAAGUCCCGCAACGAGCGCAACCCUUGUUAAUAGUUGCUACGCAAGAGCACUCUAUUAAGACUGCCGUUGAUAAAACGGAGGAAGGUGGGGAUGACGUCAAAUCAUCAUGCCCCUUAUGACCUGGGCUACACACGUACUACAAUGGCCGCCAACAAAGGGAAGCAAUACCGCGAGGUGGAGCGAAUCCCCAAAAGCGGUCCCAGUUCAGAUUGCAGGCUGCAACCCGCCUGCAUGAAGACGGAAUUGCUAGUAAUCGCGGAUCAGCAUGCCGCGGUGAAUACGUUCCCGGGCCUUGUACACACCGCCCGU
rnacentral:rRNA from 1 species